rnacentral:tRNA from 1 species
UAGAUUGAAGCCAGUUGUUAGGGUAUUUAGCUGUUAACUAAAAUUUCGUGAGAUAAAAGCUCACCGAUCUAG